rnacentral:lncRNA from 1 species
AGCAAGUUAUGUUUGAGCAUAGUAUGGGGUAGAAAUGUCCAAGACAAAUGAACAACAUUGUAUGAGAUGUUAAUUGUAGUUACAUGUUGCAUGAGGCUUGGACAAACGUACCUCAUAGCUUCAUCUUUCUAAGUAAGUGAUGACGAACUUACUUGGAAGAGGAGGGUUCGGGUUCAUCUAUUGGUGAGAGCUCCUGGUCUUGUUGAGCAAGGCUUUCCUUGUACUCUUCACCUUUUCACCAUUCAAUGAAACUAUAGAAGAUUACAUACUCUUCACUCAUCAAUCUUUUCCUGACUUCUUUGAUUAAUUUGCGGUUGAUGAGUUGGGGUCUAUUGGAGGUGCAAUAAUGUUCACUUGAAAACUUCUUCUCCAAUAUAUAAAGGUUGUUCUUUCUUGCAAAACAUUAAUGGACACAUACCCGAGGGAAUAGCAAGAUUGAAAUACGGGUUUUGUUGUCCAUACUUUUUUCUCCUAUGCUAAUCAAGAUGAUAUAUGGUUUAAGAUUAUUUAGCAUAAAUUGUGUCUAUUGUGUUUUAUGUUGUUGUUGCAAUCUAUCAUGGUUCAAGGAAAAGAUAAC